UUUCCAGCCCCUCCUCCUUCCACAGAGCUGGGGGGGUGGGAGUGAAAGCUCGAGCCCUCUAGUCACUUGGUUGGCUCCCCUGACCACCAGCCCCCACCCCAGGCGUCCCUUGUCCCUCCCCCCACCCCCACUCCUACACUGCGGUGCCUUUAACAUGACAAAAGACACCCUUCACUCUCUCCUCCCUUAGGAAUUCCAACGGUUUGGGGAGCUCAGCGCCAGGAAGGGGCAAAGGACAAGGACCUACUUCUUACUGCAAAGCGCGGUAUUGCAGCCUGUUUGGUGCAAAUCCAGGGUUUGUGGUUGCGCUGGCCUGACCGGAUGAAUGAACGAGUUCCCGGGGCUAGAUACUAAGAGGAAAUGUGUGAGGGACUAAUUCUUGGAUUUCCGAUUGUGUGACAAAGCAGUGGUGAUAUGAAAAUAGCAGUUACCAGAGAUGAUUAUUAGGACUUUUACUACCACCCCUGCUGCUAGCACCUAGCACAUCACAGUCCCUGGUCAAAAAUGUCUUUUCCACCUAAGGUGCAUAAAUGGAGGCACAAGGAGAUUAGGAAAGUACUCAUCCAAAGGAGCAGGGCUAGCAAAGGUCAGAGCUGAUUUCCGAAUCCAGGUCCUGGGGACUUCAAAACCCCUGUCCUGUUCACCCCUUCAGGGGUUUUUCCUUGGAGGAAGCAGCUUCUUGAACAGGAAGAUUCUUCUGCACACCUGGUGGUGCUGGAACAAAGGGGAUGGCCAAGAAAAUCAAGAAAACCUGCAAUCUGGCAGUUCUGUGUUUUCCUUAGAUCACCUCCCAAGAAACUAUAGAAGAAAGCGUUCUGGAGGAUUGAAAGGAAAUAAAGGAUGUCUCUUUCUCUGAUAGAAGAGAGUCCUACAGAUAUGCCGUCACAUGUAGCAUCUGCUUCUUGUCUGAGAGGACUUGCUGCCCUCUAGCCCAAGAGAAGGCCCGUAUAGUCUCUCAUGCCAGCUCUUCCCAGGCACAGACUCAUGGAGCCUUUGAGGCAAGGAUAACAGCUGCCUAUUUUGAGACGUUUUGUUGUGUGAUAAGAACAAACUCACUAGGGGCAUCUGGGUGGCUCAGUUAAAGCCUCUGCCUUUGGCUCAGGUCAUGGUCCCAAGGUCCUGGAAUCGA